UCUCGGGGCCGCUUAGCCGCGCCGCGCCGAGCCGGCAGCCGUGCUGCCUUCCCAUGCGCGGCGCUGCGCCGCCCGCGGAGGCACAGGGGCGUCCGCGCUUAGCCGGGAGCUUCAGCUGUGUGGAAGAAAAUGUCAGUCAGCAUGCAUGAGAAUCGCAAAUCUAGGGCUAGUACUGGCUCUAUAAACAUAUAUUUAUUCCAUAAAUCAUCCUAUGCUGAUAGUGUCCUUACUCACCUGAACCUUCUGCGUCAACAGCGUCUUUUUACAGAUGUGCUUCUUCAUGCUGGGAACAGGUCAUUCCCCUGCCACAGAGCUGUUCUGGCUGCUUGCAGCCGCUAUUUUGAAGCAAUGUUCAGUGGAGGAUUGAAAGAGAGCCAGGACAGUGAAGUCAACUUCCAUAAUUCCAUUCACCCAGAAGUCUUAGAGCUUCUUCUUGACUAUGCAUAUUCUUCCAGGGUUAUAAUCAAUGAGGAGAAUGCAGAGUCGCUGCUGGAGGCUGGCGACAUGCUAGAGUUCCAAGACAUUCGGGAUGCUUGUGCAGAAUUUCUAGAGAAAAACCUUCAUCCUACUAACUGUCUCGGCAUGCUGCUGCUGUCAGAUGCUCACCAGUGCACCAAGCUUUAUGAACUCUCUUGGAGGAUGUGCCUUAGCAACUUCCAGAGCAUCAGUAAAAGUGAAGACUUCCUCCAGCUGCCGAAAGACAUGGUAGUGCAGCUUCUUUCCAGUGAAGAAUUAGAAACUGAAGAUGAAAGGCUGGUAUAUGAGUCAGCUAUCAACUGGGUCAGCUAUGACCUGAGUAAGCGUCACUGUUAUCUGCCUGAGCUAUUGCAGACAGUCAGACUGGCUCUCUUGCCAGCCAUAUACCUUAUGGAGAAUGUAGCAAUGGAAGAACUUAUCACCAAGCAAAGGAAAAGCAAAGAAAUUGUAGAAGAAUCCAUAAGAUGCAAGUUAAAGAUCUUACAGAAUGAUGGAGUUGUCACUAGUUUGUGUGCCAGACCCCGUAAAACUGGCCAUUCGCUCUUUCUUUUAGGUGGCCAAACCUUUAUGUGUGACAAGCUAUAUUUGGUGGACCAAAAGGCAAAGGAAAUCAUUCCAAAGGCUGACAUUCCAAGUCCACGGAAAGAGUUCAGCGCUUGUGCCAUAGGCUGCAAAGUGUAUAUCACGGGAGGACGUGGAUCAGAAAAUGGAGUCUCCAAAGAUGUAUGGGUGUAUGACACUCUUCAUGAGGAGUGGUCAAAGGCUGCUCCCAUGCUGGUAGCUAGAUUUGGGCACGGGUCUGCUGAACUCAAGCACUGUUUGUAUGUAGUAGGAGGACACACUGCAGCAACUGGCUGCCUUCCUGCUUCCCCUUCAGUAUCCUUAAAGCAAGUAGAACAAUAUGACCCUGUGACCAAUAAAUGGACCAUGGUUGCUCCACUCCGAGAGGGAGUAAGCAAUGCAGCAGUAGUCAGUGCAAAGCUUAAGCUGUUUGCUUUUGGGGGUACCAGCGUUAGCCAUGACAAGCUGCCCAAAGUUCAAUGUUAUGAUCAGUGUGAAAACAGAUGGACAGUACCAGCUACCUGCCCCCAGCCCUGGCGCUACACAGCUGCAGCUGUUCUGGGUAACCAGAUUUUUAUUAUGGGUGGAGAUACUGAAUUCUCUGCAUGCUCUGCUUAUAAAUUCAACAGUGAGACAUACCAGUGGACUAAGGUGGGAGAUGUGACAGCUAAGCGAAUGAGCUGCCAUGCAGUGGCAUCUGGAAACAAAUUGUAUGUUGUUGGAGGCUACUUUGGCAUUCAGAGAUGCAAAACAUUAGACUGUUAUGAUCCCACGUUAGAUGUGUGGAACAGUAUAACAACUGUGCCCUAUUCAUUAAUUCCGACGGCAUUUGUCAGCACAUGGAAGCACCUCCCCUCAUAAUAGUGUGUAUAUUGCAAUUACGAAUUAUCAGAUUUACUCUUAUGGAAUCCACAGCCCUGCUUUCAUACAACCUUAAGCCCUUGAGACUUACCAUAUCCGGAGUGCUGGGGAGUAAUCACAUCUCCCUGAUAGAGAGCAAAUAGAAGCCUUGAUUUCUUUGAGAUGACUUCCUCACUAGCUGGGAACGACAUCUUUAAAUCUUCAGUCAAUUUCUGUUAUUACUCACUUUCAGCAGUUCUCAGUGUUAUCAGAACAGUAGUAUUGAAUGCUCAGACUCAGGUCUGUGCCAAGAAAAAUAUUGACUUAUUCUUCUGAGACUGGCUUAAUUGUUCUAGGGUUUACAGUACAUGAGACAGUGUUUUAUUUUGAAAAAUAGUCCUCAGAGUAUAACAGUGCAAAAAACUUUCAUUUGCUUUGCUGUAUCUCGUUAAACAUCAUUAUUUUAGCUUCAUUAACACUCUAGAUAACUGGAUGAAAGCAACCGUAAAGUGAAGUCUCUCCAGUGCUGUGUGCUCAUCCAGAAAGUAGGAUGUUUUUUUUUUCUGUGACUCCUGCUGCUUUGUCAGUGGGUGGGAGGGACAAAAAGGAAAUUACUUCUGAUUACCGUCUGUUUUCAUGGCGUUGUGUGGCCCCAGUCUGACAGCUUUUAGGAAGACUUUAGUCUGCUUUGUCAUUUUCCUUAAACUUGGGGCUUUUGAGUAGAUUGAGGAUUUUUUUUCUUCCUCCUUGGAACUGUUAUAACUUUUUUUUUCAAGCUCAUCCAGUGACAGGAAACAUUGUUUUGGCUUCAGUGUUGAUAUGUACAUUUUAGUGGGGAAAAAUGAUGUGCUACCCUGAAGAAUGUCUAGAAAAGACUAAUCAACACUAAAUACAGAAAACUUUUUUGGAAGUAAUGAAGAUGGUCUGUUUUCAAACCCACAAUUGCAGAGACUUGAUACUUUAGACUGUUACAUAGGCUGCUGUGUUUCCUGUGAAUGUUCCCUGUUGUUCUUAGACAUCACAGCUUGAAAGAUAUGUGUUAUACUCCAUUAUUUGGAGAAGAAAAUUGGAACCUCAAAUCUGGAGAAACGGUUUUAAUGAAGAAAAAUCGUUCAGUGUCUUUUGCAUUUGAAGAAAAUCAUCUGCACCUUGUAAAUUAUCUAACCUAGACAUGAAGGAACGGGAAGAAAAAGCUAUCUUCAGUGCUUCAGCACAUAGUUUAAAUAUGAAUGAAUGAACUUAUGAUCUGGUCCUUGUGCUAGUAAUUGUGUAUUAAUGCCAAUAUUAAUCAGUCUUUCAGAGGAGAAAAGACAACUUCUCUGAGCUGUACAGCACACAACUCUUGAUUUUCAUGGACUCCACUGUUUGUGUGUGAAAUUUGAAAUGGUUGUCACUUCUCUUUGUGAUGGUUUGAAGUGCCAGUACCAGCUGCAAGGGAAGCAGGCCAGGUCUGGAGCAGUGAGAUGUUGCUGUGAAUGAAGAUGCAGCGGUAUUUCUGCAGAACUCUGCUUAAUCGAGUGAGCUUGACUGUGGGCAAUGCCUACAGCAGCCUUUAGAUGCCUGUGUUGUAUUGUUCUGUGUGCAGUGAGUAACCUGAUUGAUAAGGAACAACACAGUGGUGAAAUGUUUUUGCAACAGUGGAGAACAAAACGGAUGUCCUCCAAAUGCUUAUUGUUUCUUUUCCUCCCUGUAUUUAUAAGUAAUUCAGACUGUCCCAUUCUUGUUAUGUUACUUGUUGUAGAUAUAGUUAUUUAUUGUUCAGUGCUUGCAUGCUGAAACAAUGCCUGCAAUUGUCUUCAUGUGAUUGGGGCUUGUGUGAAUUGUUGUACGUUUUGCACGUUUUGUGAUCGCUGACUUGCUCUGCUGCACAAAGAAAGAAAAGUGAGUAACAGUUGGAGGUGGGAGGGAGGGGUGACUUCCCAGUCGGAAAUGGAAGGAUUACAAGGCAGGAUCUUAAAUUACACACAUACUAACUAAAGGAAGAAGCCAUGGAGGUCACUUUCUCAGGCCACCAGCUCCCCAGGUUGCAUGUUGUGCAUCUUGUAGAUGGUGUCCCCACUACAUUUCAUUUGCUGGUCAUGCCUUUGAAUUCCUAGUCUGGAAAUAGCCCAAAUCACUUACAACUCUCUCUUUGUGCAGCUUCCUGAUUGCAACACAAAUACUGUGGAAUAGCUUCUGGAUACCAAGCCCAGAUGAAGUCAUUGUCCAAAGUUAUUUAUUUAUUUAUUGGGUUAAAGGGCAGGGUACUUACAGUAUAGCCACAUUGACCUAAAUGAGUAGAGUAUGGCUGAUUCAAGAAUAAAACCAGAACAUUUAAGACAGGUUAGUGAUGAAGUUUUAAAAGGGAAAAAAAGUGGAACAACAAUUUUGCACUGACUGAGUGCUCAUCACUCUUUCAGAAGGGCAGCUGAGUGGGGAGAUGUCAAAGAUCCAAGCACUCUAGUAAAAUGAGGAUAGAAAAUUAAUUUCAGAACUCUUAACCUUAAAUAGUCCUCAAACUCUGCUGCCUCUUAUUUUCCAUAGCCAGGUAUGUCUUUAAACAUUUGGGUGCUCAGUAGUGCCAGACUUAAUUUUAUAAACAAAUUUCUUUAUUUUUAUCAGUCUAGUCUUGAGAUAGGUGUGAAGCUACUCUUUUUUCCUCUGGAUUUCAGAAGCUUAUGUUUCACAGAUGCCUUCUUUGCCAGAUUCUGUUAUGAAGCAUGUAUUGUAUUGUUUUUUUUUUUUGUUUUUUUUUCCUCGGUGUUUAUAGAGCCCAAUUUAACUGGUGCAUUCAGUACCAUGUUGGUGUAUGCCAAAGUAUAAGUAAAACGUUUGCAUGGGUGCAUGCAAAACAGAAAUAGUCACAUUGGUGAUGCUUGCCUUUCUCUAUGUGACAGUGAUGUAGCUGUAUUUGUGAAGACUUUAUCAUCUGAAAGUAUUAACCCUGGUCAAUGAAAAUUUUCUUAUACUGCCUUAUGUUCGACUUGCUGUUUGGAGUAGAUGGACCCUUACAUUUCAGAAAUAGAAUAUCUGAGAGAGCAUUGCUUAAUUAUUAAAGUCAAUGGCUUUUUAAGGGUAAGGCCCAGCUAGAUGUGAACCGUUACAAUUAUAGUUCUUCUGGUUAAAUUGGUCUGCUGAAAGAAUAGUGGUUUUUGGGUUUUUUUUUUUUUUUUUUUUUUUUUUUUUAAGUGUUGAAACUCACAGCAUUCUCCUCUGAAUCGGCUCUUUUCUCUUAUAUGGCUUUUAAGCAACAGAAAAAUACCUUAGAAUAGAUCUCUUUCUAUAACCCUUUAGUUGCACAGGUUGUCCUGUUGAAAUAAACAGGAUUGAAUUCUUGUUACUUUUGAUCUUGUGGAUCACUCCUGUGAAUGCAAAGUGAGCCAUAAAGUCAGACUUCCUGUGUUUUGCAUGUUCUCUCCCCAGGCAUAAGUCACUGCAUGAGGUACAAGGAAGUGAAGAACCAGGUCCCAAGGGGACCCCUUGCUUGAAUAAGGGCAUGUUUUCUCCAUCAAAUUGAUUAGACUCCUGACAUGAAGCUGCACUGUGUCUAUUUAGCUUACUGCACAAUUCUGUUUUGUAGCACCAUGAAACUUCUGAAAGUGGGAUGAAUUUUCUGCAUCUAUUUCCAAAGUUAUGGUCUGCUUUCAAGUCCUCAGUUAAUUCCCAUAUGUAUGCUGAAGGAAGCUGAAGUCAGGGUAGGCCUCUGGCUCUGCGGGGAAUAUGCCGGGCUCUUGCUUUUUGAAUUGAUGUGGGAAUCCUGGCUAGCUACUUGACCAUUCCAGUCCUGCAAAACACCCCACACUUUGAAGCAAAUGCAAUUCACAGCGGAGUGCACACAAAAACCUUGGCAUAAGAUGAGAAGGUUCCUCUUAUUUUGCAGGCUGGUUGCUGUAGAAACAUAUAACAAAGGACAGCCUUCCUCUUCUGGUAUAAUUGUGUAGCCCCUUUUCUCUAGGUCUGACACCUGUCUGAAUAAGAGUGAUUAGAGCAGAAUAAUGUUCUCUUUCCUGGCUGUUGAAGAUGUGAUUCACGUACUAAAAGAAACUGUACAAGUGAAGAAGUAAAAUGUCUGUGUUAUGUGUUUUUGUUUGCUACUCCAUCUUAAGGUUUUGUAAAACUUGCAAUUUUUUUUUCACAAUGUGAAACUGAAGGUCAAUAAAUUAUUAGAGAUUUUCUCUUUGGAUCAUUUCUUUUAAAGGUUGUCUCUGUUCCUCCACUCCACUUCCCCCCGCAGAAAUGUUUUAAAUCCUUUAUAAGGUCAUUUUCCUGUUCUUUUUAUUAAAAGACAUCAACAA